CAGGGACAGAUCCCAGGUCUAAACCCUAGCCAAAAUCCCUUGUGUUAGAGGAGCUCACCCUUUACUGCUGAUGAAAGCUCCAUAAUGAAGUGCUUUCCUGGUGACACUCAGAGAUCGUUUGCUAUGUGAAUGUUUUUCUUGCUCAAAUUUCAACAAACAUGAUUGCCAAAAAGAAAAAAAAAGAGAAGAGAAAAGAAAGAAAAGAGAACAGAAAAGAAGAAAAGAAAAGAAAGAAAGAAAAGAGAAGAGAAUAAAAGAAAAGACCAGACCCACAGAAUCCUAUGGGAUCUGCUGACAUGUUUGUCUGAACUUCGUCUUCCACAUCACUGUCAAGAUAGUUUUUCUAACUCACUACUCCAAAAUCUAUGAAAAGCCUCCAUAAGCCCCCAGUUGCCCUCCAAAUUAUAACUGCAUUUAGUUCACACUUUUCCCUCCUCCUGAAAUGACUUUCCUUCUUAUUCCACUUUUAAAAACUUUAUCACCUGCAAAAUUCACUUCAAAAAGAGCUCCCUCCAUGAAGGUUUAAUAACCCUCUUGGCCCUAAAGGAAUGACAUCUCCUAUUUGGCCUGUUCACAUUGCUGCACUGCACUGGUAACUCUUCAACAAAACCCAUUUUUACUCUUGCCUCUUAUUGUUACUUAUGUAUAGGUCUUAUUGCCUCUUUCAACCUCAACUAAACUAUUUAAGAGAAGUAUACUCAUCUGUUUAUUUCCUGCUGGGUCUAGUCCAAUCUCUUAUAAUUUUUAGAACAUUAAA
rnacentral:lncRNA from 1 species